rfam:Camelus ferus unplaced genomic scaffold scaffold713, whole genome shotgun sequence.
GAGGGUACAGCUCAGUGGUAGAGCGUGUGCUUAGCCUGCACGAGGCCCUGGGUUCAAUCCCCAGUGCCUCCA